GCCAGAAUAGCUCAGCGGCAGAGCAGCUCACUCGUAAUGAGCAGGUCGUGGGUUCAAUUCCCACUUCUGGCUCGA
rnacentral:tRNA from 1 species